UAACAUGGAAGAAUCUAGUGAGGAUGAAGAUGACGAGGAAGAGAUGGAAGAGGGAUUACAUGGUUUUGAGAGUUAGAAGAUGCAAGGAUGUUCUUCUACAGUUUUCUAUUAUGGAAGUGGCUUCAAGAAUUAUGAUUACAUUUACUUUUGAAUGCACAAAGAUGCAUGUUUGUUAUAAUGUUAAUGGGACAAUGUAAUUUGAAUUUUGUCUAAAUAUGUAAUUGUCUAAGUUUGUAGUUUUUAUUGUUGGGUUGUAAUUCUCAGCUGGACAAUAGUGUUGUUUCAUACAUUUUAUUUUCUUUCUAUUGGCUUGAAGAUGCAAUUUUUUUCUUUUUUAAUAUUUGUAGAUAUAUCCAAAUUACAAAGUUUGAAACCACCACCAACACUAUCUAUUUGAAAUAGGCUACUUAUAUGGUUAACAUUAACCAAUUAACCAUUGGAGAAACAAAAUAAAGAUAGAAAAAUACAUCCAGUUUUUGAGAGCCCAUUAAGCUGUUAGGCCAUUUUGGCCCAUUU